rnacentral:rRNA from 1 species
GUUAUAUGGUCAAGUGAAUAAGCGCAUACGGUGGAUGCCUAGGCGAUAAGAGGCGAUGAAAGACGUGGUAGCCUGCGAUAAGCCUCGGGGAGCUGGCAAACAAGCUUUGAUCCGAGGAUGUCUGAAUGGGGAAACCCACCUGUCAUAAGGCAGGUAUCACUAACUGAAUCCAUAGGUUAGUGAGGCGAUACCCGGGGAACUGAAACAUCUAAGUACCCGGAGGAAAAGAAAUCAACCGAGAUUCCCUUAGUAGCGGCGAGCGAACGGGGACUAGCCCUUAAGCUUAUCUGGUUCUAGUGGAGCACUCUGGAAAGUGUGGCCAUAGAAGGUGAUAGCCCUGUACACGAAAGGGCCAGAUAAGUGAAAUCGAGUAGGUCGGGACACGUGUUAUCUUGACUGAAUAUGGGGGGCCCACCCUCCAAGGCUAAAUACUCCUUAUCGACCGAUAGUGAACCAGUACCGUGAGGGAAAGGCGAAAAGAACCCCGGAGAGGGG